rnacentral:rRNA from 1 species
AUACGGAGGGUGCAAGCGUUAUCCGGGAUUCACUGGGUUUAAAGGGUGUGUAGGCGGACUAUUAAGUCAGUGGUGAAAUCCCCGGGCUCAACCUGGGAACUGCCCGUUGAUACUAUUAGUCUUGAAUUCUGUUGAGGUGGGCGGAAUACAUCAUGUAGCGGUGAAAUGCUUAGAUAUGAUGUAGAACACCGAUUGCGAAGGCAGCUCACUAAGCAGCGAUUGACGCUGAGGCACGAAAGCGUGGGGAUC